rnacentral:rRNA from 1 species
UACGUAGGGUGCGAGCGUUAAUCGGAAUUACUGGGCGUAAAGCGUGCGCAGGCGGCGCGUUAAGACAGGUGUGAAAGCCCCGAGCUUAACUUGGGAAUUGCGCUUGUGACUGGCGUGCUGGAGUGUGGCAGAGGUAGCUGGAAUUCCCGGUGUAGCGGUGAAAUGCGUAGAUAUCGGGAGGAAUACCUAUGGCGAAAGCAGGCUACUGGACCAUCACUGACUCUGAUCUGCGAAAGCUAGGGGAGCAAACAGG